GGUGGGGCCGAGUAGAGACACAGCGAACUGCGCACGGAGAAGCCCUGGAAAGGCGACAGAGGACCCGGGUUCGAUUCCCGGCACCUCCACCA
rnacentral:tRNA from 1 species